rnacentral:rRNA from 1 species
AGCGAACGCUGGCGGCAGGCUUAACACAUGCAAGUCGAGCGGCAGCGGGCUGUAGCAAUACAGUGCCGGCGAGCGGCGGACGGGUGAGGAAUACAUCGGAAUCUACCUUGUCGUGGGGGAUAACGUAGCGAAAGUUACGCUAAUACCGCAUACGAUCUAAGGAUGAAAGUGGGGGAUCUUCGGACCUCAUGCUCAUGGAGUGGCCGAUAUCUGAUUAGCUAGUUGGUGAGGUAAAGGCUCACCAAGGCGACGAUCAGUAGCUGGUUUGAGAGAACGACCAGCCACACUGGAACUGAGACACGGUCCAGACUCCUACGGGAGGCAGCAGUGGGGAAUUUUGGACAAUGGGGGGCAACCCUGAUCCAGCAAUGCCGCGUGAGU